AGCUUCAGCCAGAGGUGAGUGGAAUAACUCUUAUGCUUUUAAAUAAAUAAACCAGUUUUAGCAUGAUUCACGCAUCAUAAAUGCCAUGAGAUAUAAUAGGGUGCUUGCAUUAGAACUCACGAAUAUGUUGCAUUGCAUAAUAUGUUGAUGAUGCGGAUGAAUGUUGAACAAUCCUUUAGUCCUCAUAUGUUAUGAUAUGAUGAUGAUACGGUACGGAAGACCAGUGAGGCGCAUUCUACGCCCCUGGCACCAUGUAAGAGAAAGACCAGUGAGGCCCAUUCUACGCCCCUGGCACAGUUGGAAUGUUAUGUUAUGCUAUGUUAUGAGUAUGUAAGAG
rnacentral:lncRNA from 1 species